GUGAUCAUACCAACACUAAUGCACCAGAUCCCAUCCGAACUCCGCAGUUAAGCAUGCUUGGGCAAAAAUAGAACUAGGAUGGAUGAUCCCCUUGGAAGUUCUCAUGUUGCAGCUC